UUUCUUUCACACCAUAAAGUCACAGCCCCACCCUUCACUGUGAAGACAUCAUUCUAAUUUCACACUUGCACGCACAAAAGAAAAGCUCCUUUUAUUUUGGGCGUCAAAAGGGUUAGGGUUGGAAUAGUCCAAAAGAAGUAGGCUCUUCAUGAGUUGUCGCCCCCUCUCGCAAAACCAACACCCAAAAAAUAUUGGACACCCC
rnacentral:lncRNA from 1 species